AAGUGUCAGUGUUAUCCUGGCAGCACGGGAACACAGGAAAUUGUGCCUGAACGUGAGUGUGAUGUUGAAGUGAAGCCAUGCUGGGCUUGACACAGACGUGAACAGCUAGAAGGCAGUGUGUGAGCGCGUGCUGAUCGUCAUGAUGCUGGACAGGAGCAGGGUGACAGCGGUGGCGGAGAUCUUCUUCAGCAGGAGGCACUCAUCGAAGCAGGAGGAGCAGGAGGAGCAGGAGGAGCAGGAGCAGGUCAUUCACUGUCUCUGCUCCAGAGCCUUCGUACAGGAUCGAGAGCUGUAUCGCUCUGAUAACAGAUUGCUCUCCUUUGACCUGGCAGACACUGCAGUCCAAGAAGCAGAUGAUGACGAGGAGGAGGAGGAGGAGGAGGAGGAGGAGUUGGGUGAAGAAGCUCAGCUGAUGGCCAGCAUGGGUCUGCCUCUGGCGUUUGUCAGCUCGUCUGCCCAGAGGAGAGUGGGGAGGAGGCGUAACGUGAAGCCUGCCGCAGACUGUGCAGAACCAGCUGAAGAGGAGGAAGAUGAAGAAGAUCUACAGGUUGACAACAAAAUUGAUGAGAAGGAAGCGUGUGAUCCACUGUGGGAAGGAGCCGGAGGGAUCCAAGAUGCUGGCUGGGAGACCUACUGGGCUCAACAGGGUGAAGCUCUGCUGUGGAGCAGGUGGCUGGAGAAACAUCCAGAGACUGAGCUGCUGUCUACAGAAGGUCCAGGAACAGUGACUGCUCUCUGGGAUGACCCGGGCACAAAGGCUGUCUGGGACAAACAUGUCGCAGAGACCUACUACUCCUACUGGGAGCAGUACUCAUACUGGGCAGCACAGGGCUGGACCACUGACCAGUCUGUCUGUAAUGGGAACACUGGUGGUGGAGAAGCAGCAGCAGGGGCGAUGGACAGAGGCUCAGAGACACAGCCAGAGGAACGGAGGGAUGGACAGACUGGUGACAGUCAGCAGAGAGAAGAGGAAGAUGCCGUUGAGGUUUUGAGUGAUCAGCUGGGACAGAUGUGCACGUUAGAAGCCGGCGGGAGCUCGGCGGCUGACAUCGGAGAGCAGUCGGAGGCAGAGCUCGGCGGCUCUGAUCCUUCUGAUGGCGGCAGUGAGCGCAGGAGACCGGCUGCCUCCUCACAGCAGAACACUGUUGAACAUACAGAUUCGCAGCAGGCUGCUGGCAGACCUGACAGACAGCGUGGCUCAGAGAAUAACAUGUCAGAUAGAGAAGAUGACGACGACGGCGGCAAACCCCCAGGAGGCGGACGCGCUACAGUCAAACGCAGUCAUGAGCUGGAUGUGGAGGAGAGCCCGCAUCUGACACCUGAGGAAGCCUGGCGUAAACUGGGACUCAAACACAACCCAGAGCCUCUGUUCAGCAGUGUGUUGAGCUUUAAAGGUGGUGCUGGUCAGAAGCGUCAGAGGAAGUGGUGGACUAAGAGAGCCGUCCGCAGCGUCAGCAAACACACCAGGUUCUCAGAGACGGGUGGAGACAACACACAGCCGCAGACCAGCACCUCCCUCUUCAAGGUCCAAACCUUUCUUGAAAAGAACCAGAGAGAGACACAGAUGACUCCAUGUGACCGGGGUGAGAUGGGAGGAGGAAGCACACAGGAAGCUGAGGACAAGCCUCCAUGUCUGGCAGUAGUGACUGGAGGAGAGGAGAGGAGGAAGUGCAGUCAGCCUGGCUUCAGCUCUGCUCCUGGGACUGUGGAUAGUGAGAGGGAGGACGAGGAGCAGCCUGGUAGACAGUUCAGAUGUCUAGAAAUUCCUGACUUUCUCCUCUCUGACGCACCUGAAGGCAACAGUGAGUUGAGUAUGAAAGAUGGAAAGAAGCCAAAGAAGAAGAAGAAGAGUAAGCGAGCGAGGAAGCAGCAGGUCCCAGCCGAGAUGGCAGCUGAACCGGAGCUGGCUAAAUACUGGGCUCAACGCUACAGACUCUUCUCUCGCUUCGAUGAAGGGAUCAGGCUGGACCGAGAGGGCUGGUUCUCUGUGACACCGGAGAGGAUUGCUGAGCACAUCGCCCUCAGGGUGGAGCACAGCUUCUCUGACUCUCAGCUGGUCAUAGACGCCUUCUGUGGUGUGGGAGGAAACGCUAUCCAGUUUGCCCUCACUGGAAAGAGAGUCCUGGCCAUUGAUAUCGACCCGGUGCGGUUGGACUUGGCGCGGCACAAUGCUAUGGUUUAUAGGGUUGCAGACCGAAUAGAAUUCCUGCAAGGGGACUUCCUUCAGCUGGCGCCCCAUCUUCGUGGCGAUGUGGUCUUCCUGUCACCGCCUUGGGGAGGACCAGACUACCUGACUGCUGAGGUGUUUGACAUCAAGACCAUGAUGGAGCCUGAUGGAUAUCCUUUGAUGUAGAAGCAGGGGGGGUGUUAGAGCAUUACUGACACUGGUACAUUUCUGAAAGGUCACACUAGAGAGAGAGAGAGAGAGAGAGAGAGAGAGAGAGACUUUGAUAUCAUCCAAAUCUGCAUGUACACAUAAAUCAUCCAGACGCAACAAAGCUCCCUGGCCAGAUGUGAACUGGGGAUGUCAGUAUAUGGUAUUCAAUUUUAUUUAUAUAGCGCCAAUUCAUAACAGAAGAUAUCUCAUUGCACUUUUCCUAUAGAGCAGGUCUAGACCGUACUCUUUAUAAUAUUAUUGCUAUGGUGCAAUGCUAGGAAUAGGAAUUAUCGUGAUAGGAAUAACAAUGAUGAUAAUAGUAAUAAGACUAAUAAUAAUAAUUGUAGUAGCAGUUGUUGAGCAGGAACACAGGGGCAGCAGGUGGCCCACAAUCACACAUCCAGACUCUGCAGCUCCAGAGGCAGAAAUACCUGCUGAAAGCGACAGAAGGAGAGAGGAGAGAGAGACGAGAAAGCACAAAACUACGAGAGAGAGAUGUCGAGUUAAUAACAUGCAUUAUUGGGAUUAAAAUGCAUACAGAUUGAGAGGGAGAGGAGGAGAGAGGAGCUCAGUGCAUCAUAGGAAGUUUCCCUGCAUCUCAAAGGAAUAGUUCGACAUUUUGGAAAAUACCACCUCUAAAGUUCACUAAUUCAUACAUUAUAUUUUGUUUGUUUUAUUUGUAACAUAACCUCCAUAAUCCCCCAAAACGUCGUAUUGACACUUUUCGUAUGGAUUAAACAAAUGAGAUAUAACAUGUUAACCCUCCCGCUGUCCCAGACACACCACCCAGAGCAUGCAUCAUCUUCAGAAGACAAAGAAGAAGAGGAAAUCCCUCAAGCUGAAAGAGAGAUGUUCCUGUCAAAAAAUGGAAGAAUAACAUGGUCCUCGGCAGCAUAUAACAAACAGGCCAGGACGGCAGAAUGAAAUGUGACGACGAUGACCCCAGGACCCGCAACAUAUGUCGUUUCUUAUACCCAUGACAAUGCCUCAACAUUCUACCUGUUCAUCACACCAGCAAUAGAAAAAAUCAUCCUGGAGAUGACAAAUCUGGAGGGCUUUCAAAAAUAUGGAGACAGCUGGAAAACAAUGGAUGAGACUGAUCUACAUGCCUUCAUAGUGCUGCUAAUCUUAGAAGGUGUAUACAGGUCCAGAGGUGAGGCUGCAGCUAGUCUAUGGGAUGCAGAGAGUGGAAGGGCGAUUUUCCGUGCCACGAUGCCAUUCAAACUCUUUCACAGUUACUCAAGACUGCUAUGAUUUGAUGACCGUGAGACAAGACCUGCAAGACAUGCGACAGACAAACUGGCAGCCAGAGACAUCUGGGACAAGUGAGUGGAGCGGUUGCCAUACCUCUACAACCCAGGGCCUGACGUAACAGUGGAUGAGCAACAGGUGCCAUUCAGAGGUAGCAUAUAUUAUUUAUUUAUAGCUGUUAUAAAAGGGAUUUGCACUACUGAUUACUGUGACUGUGGUCUGUGACACUGAUACCAAUCACCGAUGCUAAUCUGGUCUGUCCGAAGGUCGUUGUCCUUUCCGGCAGUAUAUGCCCAGCAAGCCAGCAAAAUAUGGGAUCAAGUCAUGGGUGGUCUGUGACACAAAAUCCAGAUACGCUUGGAAGAUGCAAGUCUACACCGGGAAGCCGACCUGUGGAGACCCAGAGAAAAAACUGGGGAUGCGGGUUGUGCUUGAUGUGACAGAGGGACUGAGGGGUCACAAUGUCACAUGUGACAAUUUCUUCACCUCUUACGAACUUGCAUGGCAGCUCCUGAAGAGGAAGAUCACCAUGGUUGGCACAGUUCAAAAGAACAAGCCUGAGCUCCCACCUUCACUGCUUGCAUCAAAGGACAGAGAGGUCUUCUCAUCAAAGUUCGCCUUCACGCGCACAACCACUCUAGUUUUCUACCUCCCAAAGAAAAACAAGAAUGUGGUACUUCUGAGCACACUGCACACAGAGGCUGACAUUAGCAAUCACAAGGACAGGAAGCCAGCCAUCAUCUUAGACUACAUCAGCAACAAAGGAGGUGUGGACAACCUAGAUAAGGUGAUUGGAGCAUACAGCUGCAGAAGGAUGACUGCUCGCUGGCCCCUGGUCAUCUUCCACAACAUCAUUGAUUUGUCCUCCUACAAUGCCUUUGUGAUAUGGAGAGAGGUCAACCCUAGCUGGAUGCCUUGUAAGCGGAACAAGAGGAGGGUGUUCCUGGAGCAGCUAGGAAAGGCACUUGUAACUCCACUCAUCGAAAGACGGGAGCAUCUCCCAUGCACAGGAGCAUCGGCAGCAGUUGUGAAAGCUGUGCAGAGGGCUAGAUCUUGGGAUCAAUCUGAGGAUCCAGCUGCCCAGCCACUGCCUCAGCUGGGGCAAGUAAGAGAAAGAGGUGUCAGAUCUGCCCACCAAAGAAGGACUGUAAAACACAUACUGUGUGCUGCAGGUGUAAGAAAUAUAUCUGCAAAGGCUGUGCGCUUGCAUACUGCCCUACAUGUGCUAAGUGGGGGUUUAGUGAUGGCGGGACAGUUUGACCCGGAGGACACGGGGAGUGUACAGAAUAUGAGGACAACAGGAGGGUUGAUGAGUGAGCUUUAGAGGUGCUGAUAGCCUCUCUGGCUGGUCCAGGAGGGAAGGUGGAGGUGGAGCAGAACUUCCUAAACAACAAGCUGAAGACCGUGACUGCGUACUUUGGCAUCUUGAUAAAGUCAGACAACUAGCUACCCUGGCAAAGGCAUGGAAGGGUUUCUUCCACCUCUAAAUGAGAAUGGAACAAAAAUGUAUUUGUACUGUAUUUCUCUAUUUCUACUACGGCCUACUGAACACCUUUUAUUCACUCCAGGGAUCCAUUCAAAUACUCAAAAGUACAACAAUUUGACUUACUUUUUUGUACUUUUUUAAAAUUUAAAUGUUGUCAUAUGUAAGAAAUAUUUUAGAUGGAAUUUGAUGAUCACAAGUUACAGUGUCUGACCACCCUGCAUGUUUGAGUUAAUGCAUGUGUUUGUGAAUCCCUCUGAUUAAAUGAACACUUGAAAAGACUGGAGUUAUGUGAGUUUUACAACAACAAUUUAUAUUUGAUCCUUUUUUUAUUGUACGUUAGAGCCAAUAAAUGUUUUUCAGAA